GUGAACGCUGGCGGUAGGCCUAACGCAUGCAAGUCGAACGGCAGCACAGUAAGAGCUUGCUCUUACGGGUGGCGAGUGGCGGACGGGUGAGGAAUACAUCGGAAUCUACUUUUUCGUGGGGGAUAACGUAGGGAAACUUACGCUAAUACCGCAUACGACCUACGGGUGAAAGCAGGGGAUCUUCGGACCUUGCGCGAUUGAAUGAGCCUAUGUCGGAUUAGCUAGUUGGCGGGGUAAAGGCCCACCAAGGCGACGAUCCGUAGCUGGUCUGAGAGGAUGAUCAGCCACACUGGAACUGAGACACGGUCCAGACUCCUACGGGAGGCAGCAGUGGGGAAUAUUGGACAAUGGGCGCAAGCCUGAUCCAGCCAUACCGCGUGGGUGAAGAAGGCCUUCGGGUUGUAAAGCCCUUUUGUUGGGAAAGAAAAGCAGCAGGUUAAUACCCCGCUGUUCUGACGGUACCCAAAGAAUAAGCACCGGCUAACUUCGUG
rnacentral:rRNA from 1 species